CACCUCUCAGGGUCACAGCCAGAGGGUUUCCAGUACUCUACCAGUCUCAGCUAUGGGAGGGAGGGUCAAGCAGAGGCCUGUCCAUUCCAUUCCUAGCUUGGACAGUGGCUAGCGAGUGGAAGGCAAUCUGCUACAAGU